GAUGAACGCUGGCGGCGUGCCUAAUACAUGCAAGUCGAGCGAACAGACGAGGAGCUUGCUCCUCUGACGUUAGCGGCGGACGGGUGAGUAACACGUGGAUAACCUCCCUAUCAGACUGGGAUAACUUCGGGACACCGGAGCUAAUACCGGAUAAUAUAUUGAACCGCAUGGUUCAAUAGUGAAAGACGGUUUUGCUGUCACUUCUAGAUGGAUCUGCGCCGCAUUAGCUAGUUGGUAAGGUAACGGCUUACCAAGGCGACGAUGCGUAGCCGAGCGGAGGGGGUGAUAGGCCACAUUGGAACUGGAACACGGUCCAGGCGCCUACGGGAGGCAGCAGUAGGGAAUCGUCCGCAAUGGGCGAAAGCCUGACGGAGCAACGCCGCGUGAGUGAUGAAGGUCUUCGGAUCGUAAAACUCUGUUAUUAGGGAAGAACAAAUGUGUAAGUAACUAUGCACGUCUUGACGGUACCUAAUCAGAAAGCCACGGCUAACUACGUG
rnacentral:rRNA from 1 species